GGGGACACAGGCACGUUGGACUGCGCGGUCUUGAAAACCGUCGUGGCGGCAACGUCACCGUGGGUUCAAAUCCCACAGCCUCCG
rnacentral:tRNA from 1 species